rnacentral:tRNA from 1 species
GUGGUUAUAGCUCAAGUGGUAGAGCUUGUGCUUAGCAUGCAUAAGGUCCUGGGUCCAAUCCCCAGGACCUCC